rnacentral:rRNA from 1 species
AGUCGAGCGGAUGAGAGGAGCUUGCUCCUGGAUUCAGCGGCGGACGGGUGAGUAAUGCCUAGGAAUCUGCCUGGUAGUGGGGGACAACGUUUCGAAAGGAACGCUAAUACCGCAUACGUCCUACGGGAGAAAGCAGGGGACCUUCGGGCCUUGCGCUAUCAGAUGAGCCUAGGUCGGAUUAGCUAGUUGGUGAGGUAAUGGCUCACCAAGGCGACGAUCCGUAACUGGUCUGAGAGGAUGAUCAGUCACACUGGAACUGAGACACGGUCCAGACUCCUACGGGAGGCAGCAGUGGGGAAUAUUGGACAAUGGGCGAAAGCCUGAUCCAGCCAUGCCGCGUGUGUGAAGAAGGUCUUCGGAUUGUAAAGCACUUUAAGUUGGGAGGAAGGGUUGUAGAUUAAUACUCUGCAAUUUUGACGUUACCGACAGAAUAAGCACCGGCUAACUCUGUGCCAGCAGCCGCGGUAAUACAGAGGGUGCAAGCGUUAAUCGGAAUUACUGGGCGUAAAGCGCGCGUAGGUGGUUUGUUAAGUUGGAUGUGAAAUCCCCGGGCUCAACCUGGGAACUGCAUCCAAAACUGGCAAGCUAGAGUAUGGUAGAGGGUGGUGGAAUUUCCUGUGUAGCGGUGAAAUGCGUAGAUAUAGGAAGGAACACCAGUGGCGAAGGCGACCACCUGGACUGAUACUGA